GAAGGUAAAAGUCGUAACAAGGUCUCCGUUGGUGAACCAGCGGAGGGAUCAUUA
rnacentral:rRNA from 1 species